rnacentral:rRNA from 1 species
AACGAACGCUGGCGGCAGGCCUAACACAUGCAAGUCGAACGCCGUAGCAAUACGGAGUGGCAGACGGGUGAGUAACACGUGGGAACGUACCCUUCGGUUCGGAAUAACUCAGGGAAACUUGAGCUAAAACCGGAUACGUCCGAGAGGAGAAAGAUUUAUCGCCGAGGGAUCGGCCCGCGUCUGAUUAGCUUGUUGGUGAGGUAACGGCUCACCAAGGCGACGAUCAGUAGCUGGUCUGAGAGGACGGUCGGACACACUGGAACUGAGACACGGUCCAGACUCCUACGGGAGGCAGCAGU